GACGAACGCUGGCGGCGUGCUUAACACAUGCAAGUCGAACGAAGAGCGAUGGAAGCUUGCUUCUAUCAAUCUUAGUGGCGAACGGGUGAGUAACGCGUAAUCAACCUGCCCUUCAGAGGGGGACAACAGUUGGAAACGACUGCUAAUACCGCAUACGAUCUAAACUCGGCAUCGAGGAUAGAUGAACGGUGGCCUCUACAUGUAAGCUAUCACUGAAGGAGGGGAUUGCGUCUGAUUAGCUAGUUGGAGGGGUAACGGCCCACCAAGGCGAUGAUCAGUAGCCGGUCUGAGAGGAUGAACGGCCACAUUGGGACUGAGACACGGCCCAGACUCCUACGGGAGGCAGCAGUGGGGAAUCUUCCGCAAUGGACGAAAGUCUGACGGAGCAACGCCGCGUGAGUGAUGACGGCCUUCGGGUUGGAAAGCUCUGUUAAUCGGGACGAAAGGCCUUCUUGCGAAUAGUGAGAAGGAUUGACGGUACCGGAAUAGAAAGCCACGGCUAACUACGUG
rnacentral:rRNA from 1 species